rnacentral:rRNA from 1 species
AACGAACGCUGGCGGCAUGCCUAACACAUGCAAGUCGAACGAGACCUUCGGGUCUAGUGGCGCACGGGUGCGUAACGCGUGGGAAUCUGCCCUUGGGUUCGGAAUAACAGUUGGAAACGACUGCUAAUACCGGAUGAUGACGUAAGUCCAAAGAUUUAUCGCCCAGGGAUGAGCCCGCGUAGGAUUAGCUAGUUGGUGGGGUAAAGGCCUACCAAGGCGACGAUCCUUAGCUGGUCUGAGUGGAUGAUCAGCCACACUGGGACUGAGACACGGCCCAGACUCCUACGGGAGGCAGCAGUGGGGAAUAUUGGACAAUGGGCGAAAGCCUGACCCAGCAAUGCCGCGUGAGUGAUGAAGGCCUUAGGGUUGUAAAGCUCUUUUACCCGGGAUGAUAAUGACAGUACCGGGAGAAUAAGCCCCGGCUAACUCCGUG